CCUCCCUGCACCCCCCAACUGAGAAUAACUCCAUCCUGAAAGUGACUUUUAAUCCGUAUUAUUUGCAUGUGCAGGUUAUGUGAAUGUGAAACUGUUGCUUAUUAAAAUAAUUCAUACAAGAAAGUAAUUUAGACUAUACAUGGCAGGCUCUGAGGUAAAAUAUAAUAACUUUUAAGAACUUAGGAGUCUAAUUUCUUUCUUGGCUGAGCACGGACAACUCCAUUAUGAUUCAGUGUGAGAACCCCAUGCUCACAUAAAGCAGAAUUUGACCCUUUCUGUUCAUAUAAAGAAUAAAAAUAUAGAAGCAGUUAAUGCUGGGAGAGGGCAACAAGGUGUCCCUAAAUAGCUCAAAACAGUUUCUAUUUAUCAACACUUAUAUCUGAGGAGGUUUAUUUUUUGUGCUGCUCCAAAUUCACUCAGGUUUUUUCUCUCCAGAUGCAUAGGGACUAAACCAGGUCCCUCCUUCAGCUCCCACAAAAUGGGAGGGAUGUAAAGAAUGAAGAAAUAUAUUCACAUUCUCUCGGGCUGCAGGGGAAGCAGCACCAACACCUCCCACAAAGGUGAGCUGGAGACAGACGACUGCUCCUGUGGGCUACAGAGAGGUUCAAGGACUUGGUCUUGUUGGCUCAUGUGAAGAGAAGGGCUGGGACAGGAUCUAACAACAAAAAUCACAGAAAUCACAAAAUCUGAGUCAAACGUCCUUGGGCACAGCCGGGAGGUUUCCAGAACCCUAAAUCAGCUCUCAGGUUCAUCUCCUGCCACCUCCAGCAGAGCACCCAGAGAGGAAGCUGGGCAAGGGCGGUGAAGGAGGGGGAAGGCAAGUGGAAGACUGGGAAAACUUAGCUCUCCUUGCUUAAUUGCAUUAAUUAGAUUGCUGAUGGACUCCACCGCAGAACCACAAGGCUGACAGAAUCUGCUCUGUACCAGCAAGUAAGGACAUUCCAAGAAAAGCAGCGAGUUUUGACAAAUUCUUGAGAUGUCACUGAUUUGUGAAUGUGCGUAUGAGAGGAAAAGGACAUGUAACUGAGAACAGUCAGCACAGACAACAGCAGGAAAUUCAGAAGUUAAAAGAAACCAAAGGGGAAAAAAAAAAAAAGCCCAUCAGACUGCUUCGUGAUGUGGAGGCUUUUUUGGUGUUGUUUUGUUACUUUUUGUGGCCUUAUUACAGCAAAGAUGCAGGAACUGGAGAUUGACAGAUGUCUCUCAAGUGUGCGUGGUCUGAAAGCAGGAAGCACAAGCAACUUUAGCUUUGCUUUUUAUGACAUGUGCUAAAAUUGGAAACAAAAUAAAUUACAGGGCAACUUCAAGGCAAGAAUAAACUGGUUGGUAAAAACUGUCCCAAUAAUCUUUUUGCUUGAGUUGUGGAAUAACUUUCAGCCACUACUGAAAACUGAACCUGCCAAGGAAGCCUUUGUUCAGGUGGGAUCUUUGCCUUAGAGGUAAAAUGAGAAAAAAGCCCAUAAAUCAGAAAAGUAUUAUUAAAACCAGCUCUUAUUCUAGAGAGUAUAAACAUUAAUUUUUAUAGAAAAACUUGGUAUAAUCAACAGGAAAAGAGAAAAAGAUAAACUAACUUUCAUGACAGCAAACCAGACUGAUUUUGACCUUCUGACUAAAUAUUUUCCUGUAGCUUCUAAGUACACCUGCUUGUUAUCCACAAAAGGAUUCACUGCCACUUAAUUAAUUCAUUAAAUAAUAUCAUUAGAUCUAGAAUUUAAAAUACUUCUUCAGACUGAAUUCACAACAGUUCCUGGCUUUUUGAAGCC